rnacentral:rRNA from 1 species
GUUGCAUGGCUGUCGUCAGCUCGUGUCGUGAGGCGUCCACUUAAGUGUGGUAACGAGCGCAACCCUUAUCCCGUGUUACAAGUGUCACGGGAGACUGCCUUGCUUUUUGCAGGGAGGAAGGAGAGGACGACGUCAAGUCAGCACGACCCUUACAUCCAGGGCAACACACAUCCUACAAUGGAGCCGACAACGGGUAGCGAAGCCGCAAGGCGGAGCCAAUCCUUAUAAACGGCCCCUCAGUUCAGAUUGUUCUCUGCAAUUCGAGAACAUGAAGUCGGAAUCGGUAGUAAUCGCAAAUCAGCAGGUUGCGGUGAAUACGUUCUCGCUCCUUGUACACACUGCCCGUCAAACCAGCAAAGUUAGUAGCGCCCGAAGCGGGUGACCGUAACUCGCAAGAGAACGGCUCUUCUACGGCGAGAUUAGCGAUGAGGGUUAAGUCGUAACAAGGUAUCGGUACUGGAAGGUGCUGAUGGAUCACCUCCUUUCUAAGGAGA